UGUGAGCCACUGUGCCCGGCCCAAGUAAUGUUUGAUCUUAUAGAUGAGGAAUGAACAACCGGAGUUUAAGUGACAUGUCUAAGGUCACCUGACAAAUUAGUGGUAGAACUUGGACUAAAACCCAGUCCAGUGCUUCCUCCCCUGGACUGGGCUACCUACAACUAAUCAAUCAGAUCUUUAGCACCUCCUGUGUCUUGUUAUGUUGCAGUGUGCUGUGAGAGAUCAGUGUGCUAAGUAAAAUGAAGAUGAUCCUUGGCAUCAAAUAAUUAGAAACUGGGGAAAGAAAAGUACACCAUAGGCCAGACGUGGUGGCUCAUGUCUGUAAUCCCAGCACUUUGGGAGGCUGAGGUGGAUGGAUCAUGAGGUCAGGGGUUCAAGACCAGCCUGGCCAACAUGAAACCCUGUUCCUACUAAAAAUACAAAGUUUAGUCAGGCUUGGAAGUGUGUGCCUUUAAACCCAGCUGCUCGGGAGGCUGAGGCAAGAGAAUCACUUGAACCUGGGAGACAGAGGUUGCAGAUCAUAUCACUGCACUCCAGCCUGGGUGACAGAGCAAGACCCUGUCUUCAAAAGAAAAAGGAAAAAAAAAAAAGGAAAACUACCCCAUAGAAAAUAAUUGCUAAAGUGUGUAAAAGUCUUCGAGAGUUCACUAAAGGGAAUGGUUAAUUGGGGGAUGAAAUAAUUGAGCAUGACUUCCUAGGGAAAGGAGAUUUGAUCUCAGGCUUGAAGGACAAGGCUACUGCUCUGUAGACUGAAGUCAGUUCAAGUUGAGGGUACAGCCUGAGCAAAAGCCAAAAUGAGCAUGACAUAUGAUAUGAAGUGAGGGGAAUGGCUAACUGGUAUGGACUUGAGGGAGGAAAAUAAAGUUGGGCAGAUAGAUUGAAGGCAGAUUAUACAAGUUAUGGAAAGCCAGCCAAAGGAAUUUGGACCAUUUUCAGCAUUUAUUAAGUACCUACUGCAAACAAAGUGUUGUGGUAGAUGCUGGCAAUUCCAAGUUGGGAGUAAUCUCUUUUUAGGCUAGUAAGGAAACAGUUAUUGCACGUUGUGAUAGAGGCUUUAAUAGAGGUGCGAACACAGGGUGUUGGAGGUAGGAGUGCAAAGGACAGCAUGUUGAAGGUAAGAAAGUGAUAAGUAGCUGGUUUUUUGAGACAAGUAAAGUGUGGUAAGGUACAGGAAGUGUGUGUCUGGAGAGCAGGCUGGAAAGGUGUGCAGAGGCCAGGUCUUUGAGAGCCUUGUAUGUGGUGCUAAGCAAUUGUCUCUAAAUGAGGUUUAUAUUUACUUUUUCAACUUGAAUAUAAAGAAAUAGAGCCUUAUUAAUAUUUAAUUUAUAGAUAACACUGGUUCUCUUGCUCAGUCUUAUAAGAUGGUGCCAUUACCCACUUUUUAUACAAGCUGAUGUCUUAUGAUUGUUGGAGCCUUCAUAAGAGCAAUUUCAGCAAAGUGACAGAACAGAAGCUUCACAAAGCCGAGGAAUUGACAGUGGUGACCUUACCAGUUUGGCUGCUGUUACCAGAAUGCUACUUGUUGCAGUUUACUUGAGCCUGGUUGAGUGGAUUUAUAUUAUCUUUUUUUAGUUACAUUAAUUUUCACAAAAUGAACAAGUGGCUUAGAGAUUUGCACAAAGAAAUAGUACACUGAAGAAAAUUCUAGCACUGCAAACAUUAAAAAAAAGUUAGAACUGACAUUUCUCCUCCUGGUGGGAGCUCUUUGUCAAGGUAAUUAUAAUCUGUCAAGGUGUCAGCUUAAAAAAUGAAUUGUCAAGAAGACUAUUUGAAAUGUUGAUAUAUAUACAUUAUCAUCAAUAAUGAACUUCACCUUAAGAAUGUAUUGUACUUUGAGUCAUAUAGUAGCUACUAUAUGACAUUUAGAUAGAAUGACUUCAUCUGGAUUAUGUUUAUAUCUUUGUUUUUCUGUAUCUCAGUCUUUAUUGGUUUCUGUAUUUUACAUAUGGUUUAUAGUAUAUAUGCGUUAAUAAAUAUUCAUAGAUUGAAGAUAUAUACUCAAAUUUUUACUGAUGUACAUGUGCUCUGAAAAAGUUUUAGGCCACAGGGUGCUGCCGAAGUGCUUUAAAUGAGGGAAAAUGUUUUAGAAAGUUGAGAGUGGCAGAUGGAGUAUAGGAUCUCCAGACAUCAAGUAAGGAAAAGCAGUUAGGAGGCUAAUUGCAACACCAUAAGGAUAGUGAGACUGGAUAGGACAGUGUGAAGUGGAGAAAUAGCGAGAAAGAAAAGAACAGGUCUGAAUGUUUGAGGUCUGAAGAGAAAGAAAUGGAGGUAACUUCUGGAUUUCUAGCUUGGAAAGCUGGAUAACUGAAACCAAAAUGAACAGAGGACAACCUAGUUUUCUGAGUGAAGGUAAGUUUAGUGUGGGGCAUGUUUAAUUUGAAUUACCUGUGUGACAUCUCAGUAGAAAAAGGUCAGUAGCUGGCUGGAAGUACAGGUCUGUAACCAAGAGAAAUGUAAGCUGGGAUGAAGAUUUACCAGAUGUCAGGGUGGAAGUAGUAAUUGACUCAUGAGUGUAGAUGAAGUCGUCAAGAGAGAAGAGUGCAAAUUGAGAAGUAGAACUAGGAUGGAAUCCUGCCGAACCCCUACAUUUAAAACCAGGUAAAGGAAGAAGAAUCUGGAGACGAAUGGUCCAGGACUUAAGAGGACAAUCUGGAGAAAAGUUUAUAGUGGUGGUUAGAUAGACAAGAAUUUCAAGGAGUUGGGAGUGAUUGGCAUCUUCAGAUAUUACAGAAUUCAAGGAAGUUGAGAGCUAAAAAGUCCAUUGGGCUUGGUCAUUAGAGUACAAAACCAUUGGAGUCCUCAUAAGAGCAGUUUCAGCAAAGUGACAGGAGCAGAAGGCAGUAAGUAGACUAUGCCGGGAUUACAGGCAUGUGCCCCAUGCCCGGCUAAUUUUUUUGUAUUUUUUGUAGAGAUGGGGUUUCUCCA